rnacentral:rRNA from 1 species
ACGAACGCUGGCGGCGUGCUUAACACAUGCAAGUCGAACGGAAAGGCCCUGCUUUUGUGGGGUGCUCGAGUGGCGAACGGGUGAGUAACACGUGAGUAACCUGCCCUUGACUUUGGGAUAACUUCAGGAAACUGGGGCUAAUACCGGAUAGGAGCUCCUGCUGCAUGGUGGGGGUUGGAAAGUUUCGGCGGUUGGGGAUGGACUCGCGGCUUAUCAGCUUGUUGGGGGGGUAGUGGCUUACCAAGGCUUUGCGGGGUAGCCGGCCUGAGAGGGUGACCGGCCACAUUGGGACUGGGGGACGGCCCAGACUCCUACGGGAGGCAGCAGUGGGGAAUAUUGCACAAUGGGCGGAAGCCUGAUGCAGCAACGCCGCGUGCGGGAUGACGGCCUGCGGGUUGUAAACCGCUUUCGCCUGUGACGAAGCGUGAGUGACGGUAAUGGGUAAAGAAGCACCGGCUAACUACGUG